UGGGGAAUUUUGGACAAUGGGUGAAAGCCUGAUCCAGCCAUGCCGCGUGAGUGAAGAAGGCCUUCGGGUUGUAAAGCUCUUUUAGUCGGAAAGAAAGAGUUGCAAUGAAUAAUUGUGAUUUAUGACGGUACCGACAGAAAAAGCACCGGCUAACUACGUGCCAGCAGCCGCGGUAAUACGUAGGGUGCGAGCGUUAAUCGGAAUUACUGGGCGUAAAGGGUGCGCAGGCGGUCUUGCAAGUCAGAUGUGAAAGCCCCGGGCUUAACCUGGGAAUUGCGUUUGAAACUACAAGGCUAGAGUGCAGCAGAGGGGAGUGGAAUUCCAUGUGUAGCAGUGAAAUGCGUAGAGAUGUGGAAGAACACCGAUGGCGAAGGCAGCUCCCUGGGUUGACACUGACGCUCAUGCACGAAAGCGUGGGGAGCAAACA
rnacentral:rRNA from 1 species